rnacentral:rRNA from 1 species
UACGUAGGGCGCAAGCGUUGUCCGGAAUUAUUGGGCGUAAAGAGCUCGUAGGCGGCUUGUCACGUCGGGUGUGAAAGCCCGGGGCUUAACCCCGGGUCUGCAUUCGAUACGGGCUGGCUAGAGUGUGGUAGGGGAGAUCGGAAUUCCUGGUGUAGCGGUGAAAUGCGUAGAUAUCGAGAGGAACACCUGCGGCGAAGGCGGGUUGCUGGGCUGACACUGACGCUGAGGCGCGAAAGCUAGGGGAGCGAACGGG